rnacentral:lncRNA from 1 species
UAACAUCACAAUACUUAUUUAUACUUAUAUUCAUUAUAGUUAUUAAUGUAUUAAAGGAUAAGUUCACUCAAAAAUGAAUUUUUGAGUGGCUGGCGUGAACACGGAUUAUUUUAUUCUGAAAAGUAACCGGAUGUUGUGAUGUUGUUUCGGUGAGUCACUUCCGGUCUGAGCCGCUUCAGCAUCCAGCAGAUAGAAUCCUGAUACCAACUGCCGGAAACCGCCGAGGGAGUCCGAGUCCUCGCGAGCGGCGGGAAGAAGAGUAUCAGUGCAUCGUUUUCAUCACAACAUCUAACAACAAGUCGCUACGUCACGUCUCAUUCACCUCAGCAGGAGGACAGCCAGACCAACUCUGAUGUCACAUAAAGAUCUCUGGAUCAGACUGAACGUGACUGAGAAUGGAUGUGGAAACAAGCGAGUCGACACAAAGUCCUGGAGAAAGUGAUCUAGAACCAGAACAUCCAGAACACAAGAUACCCAGGGAGAUCAACGGGUCAGGUUUGGAUUCAGAUAACAGUGGCCUUGUAAGGCAGGAAUAUUGCACCUUUAUUCUGCCUCACUUCAACCCACAAAGACACGUGACAGGACCAAACAACAGUAAUGUGGUAGCAGCUCGUGUCUUCAGCAUCUUAUAUGAGGACAAAAAUACAGAAUUUACUAAACAAAACCUGGGAGGGAGUCGUGCUGUGUGGGGUCGAGUAGAAGUCUGAACAAAUGAUUCUUGAGU